GGGACUUAGUGGUUGUUGGUUUAGCAACUGAUGCCUUUUUAGAAAUAGGACUAGUGGUUGGGUGUUUCAUUAGUGGAUGCUUAGCCUACGGCUUCCACAUUCAUGGCAUUGUUUUUAGUAGUUUUCAUUAUCUCUUUUGUGUAGUUGGUUGUGUUCUCAUUAAGGCUUAUAAAUAGCAUGGGAACAUUGGAAUAGCAUCGCGAUUUACAUUUCUAACUCAUCCUUUUCUAAUCUUCUUCGCUGCUUCUUCUAAUCUUCCUUUCAGUUGUUCUCAACAAAUUUUAUAUCACAUUGGUAUCAGAGCCAGGUUCCAUGGAAACCGGGGUAAAAGUACCGUGAGUUUCGUAUGAAGUCACGCGAAGCCCUAGGCUCGCCAUGAAUCUAGCUUCGAUCAAAUCCAAUGAUACCCUCCAAACCGUUUUUUGACGGAGAUGCCACUUACAAAUCUCACAUAACACCCUUACUGCGACCAAUCCCUUUGCUCAAGCCAAUAACCCCCCUGACCGAAAAACCACACCACACCUAAAACUCUCCUUUCCAAAGUUCAGUGGAGACGAUCCAAUGGUGGAUAUACAAGGCCGAACAGUACUUUGCUCAAAAAGUAUUGCUCUAGAUCCAGCAGGUUCAACUUGCGUCCUUACACAUAGAAGGAAUGCUUAACAAUGGCUUCGAUGGCUGACUAAGUUCAGGGGGGUACCUGAACUGGAAUGAGCUACUAAACAAGCCGUGUUGGCUCAGUUUUCGACGUCCAAACUGAGUACGAGGAUCCUCGGAAGCCUUGGGCCCGCCUCCAAACAAAACCUAGACAAUUGCUGCCCUAUCAAGAAACCUUCGAGAAGCUUUCACAUCGUGUUGGGUUUACCUGGAAAACUACUUAAUUGGGUUUCAUUGCAGGUCUCCGGGACGCAUAUGCCUGAUGAAAAAUCAAACAGCGCGUACCCUUGGCUGGACACCAGUGGUGAUGCCGACUAAUUGAAGAGCGCAAUUCUUUACCGAGGAGAGGGAACAGUUCCUCUCCUACUCCGGGGUCAUAGUGACACCAAAACCGCCUCCGAAAUGCAGCUGGAAUUUUAGGCCCUCCACCGCUCAGGAAGCUAACCACAUUCCUAAUUCCUUUCGGAAAAUACAAAAGUCAAGAGGCAUAUGAGAAACGUCGUGAAAAGGGUUGUGCUAUACUGUGACGAAAAAUUUGUUCCCGGCCACCGCUUGUUGUCAACGACCCAGUGUUUAUGAUUGAGAGUUCUCCAAUGCUUGAUAACCAUCAGAGGCCAGGACACUCGUGAAGGAAGUCAACAUGAUCACGCGCUUGCCCGAAAUUUCUGUCAUGCAAUAGCUGGAACGGGAACAUCCUCAAACCUCCGAGGUGGUCGGGUAAAUUGAAGAAUAAAUGCCCGACUUCCAUUGAGGGGGGAAGUACCAACAAUUUCAUUGAUCAAGCAGUAAUUAGUCAGAAACUUGGGUUGCCCGUUAUGCGUGAUAAGCAGCUGCAGGGUGAUGUGCCAACGGGGACAAAAUCAAUUGCGACGGACGAUGUCUUGGAAUCACCCUUAUCAUUCAGGACCUUCCAAAUCCAAAAAGUAGAUUUUUACGUUUUGCCGGUGGAGGCCUGUCAGGCAGUUUUUGGGGAGUCCAGUGGUUAGCACUUCCAUUGGUACAGUUAAAACUGACACGGCAAGCUCACACUGUCUUCCAGCAAGGAGGAAAAGACUUGUAUGUUUCAGGGUCUCAAACCACCUGACCCCAAGCCUUGCAUAGAAGGAGCUUAUGCACCUCGAUGGUACAACCUUGUUACUUCAAAUCACUUAUGCGUUGAACCAAACUCCAUCAAGGAUAGAUCAUACGACCUUAAUCAGAUUCCUUUAAUGAAUUUGAGCAUCUUGGCGAUCCCGACACCUUGCCACCCUUGCCACAGUACGAGCCAUCUGACCACCAAAUUUUCCGCUGCAACCAAAUAAAAGAACCGUGAGGGUUCGACCAAAGACCGGUUAUCCUUAUUAACAAAAGACGGAGAUGAUUUUGAAAAGAUGUACGUUGAAUUCUGACUCAAGGCUGAUCCAUCCCAGUACCAUCCAUUUUCGUAGCGGUAUUAAUGUGCAAGAAGGGGAUGGUGUGGGGCGGUUAUGCGUUGAGACUACCGCUCUCUAAACAAUAUUACCAUCAAGAUAAGUCCCUAUACCUGUCAUUGACGAACUCCUUGACGAACUACAUGGGUCCAGGUAUUAUUCCCAAACUCGAACCUCAAUGAUGGAUACACCAAAAUAAGGGUCAAAGAGAGGAACUUGACCAAAAUACUUUCGCACGCAUGACGGACAUUUCCGCCUUCCUUGUUAUGCUUUUUGGACUAAACCACUGCCCCUUCCACUUUUCAGAGUUUGAUGAAUGUCUGGUGCGGACCUAUUUACGAAAGUCAUUGGUUUUGUGUAUCUUUUUUUUUUUGUUUUUGUUUUUGUGUUUAUUCUUUUUUUUUUUUUUUUUUUUUUUUGUUUUUUUUUUUUUUUUU
rnacentral:lncRNA from 1 species